GAAUUUUGGACAAUGGGCGAAAGCCUGAUCCAGCAAUGCCGCGUGCAGGAUGAAGGCCUUCGGGUUGUAAAUUGCUUCUGUACGGAACGAAAAGACUUGGGUUAAUACCCUGGAGGACUGACGGUACCGUAAGAAUAAGCACCGGCUAACUCCGUGCCAGCAGCCGCGGUAAUACGUAGGGUGCAAGCGUUAAUCGGGCUUACUGGGGGUAAAGCGGGCGCAGGCGGUUUUGUAAGACAGAGGUGAAAUCACCGGGCUCAAACUGGGAACUGCCUUUUUGACUGCAAGGCUAGAGUACGGCAGAGGGGGGUGGAAUUCCGCGUGUAGCAGUGAAAUGCGUAGAUAUGCGGAGGAACACCGAUGGCGAAGGCAACCCCCUGGGCCUGUACUGACGCUCAUGCACGAAAGCGUGGGGAGCAAACA
rnacentral:rRNA from 1 species